UAAGAAUUAUUUAAUCAACUUUAUUCUGUAAAAUAGUAUUUUAUGUUGAUCGCAAACAAAUAUGUAUUGCGCACGUGCGUUACAAGUAUGUAUCGCGCAUGCGCCAAUCAGCUCAUUUGCAUAUGCAAGUCGCUGUAGGAUCGACUACCUACAACUGGCUAGUGCAGAUGCGCGACUAGUACCGGAAAUCUGUUUCUGAUUUUGGUUUAUGUGGAGGCAGUGGAUAUGGUACAGGGAAUGAGUCAAACCAAAGACUGCAUACGAUGAACAGAAUAUGGCUCCUCUGAAGAGUGCACCACUCAACAUGGACUGAUUAGUGAUUUCAGGCUGCGAGACGCACGACGGUCAGGAUAAUGAAGGUUCAAAACUGACAGCAGAUGAUGGUAUUGAGCAUCCAUUUAAAACUAUUAUUUGAGGCAUUCUCAAGUGCUUGAUAUAAUUCCAAAUAUACAAGAUCUUCAUGGUGAUGACACACAUGAGGAAUUUUCUACUGGACCAGAAUUCUAUACACUCUGUAGAAGAAAUGAAUAAAAGUUCUUCAAAACCAACAAAA